rnacentral:lncRNA from 1 species
ACUAGGUUAUUGUCCACAGCUCUAUCAAAUACCAUCACCAUUCCAACCUGUUGUAGGGAUAAUUUUGUAAGAAGUUUGAACAUUCAGCAGAUGGAAGUUCAAAUAGUGAGAGGGAUGCUUAUCCAAAAAAAUGCAGGGGAAAUAUGAUGUUCAUAACAAAUAAAAGCUUGCCAAGAAAUUCGAGUUCUUUAUUUGAAUGCUUGGGAUGCUUACCAACACAGUCAGGGAAGUUACCCCAAACAACACGGAGACCAAUCAAAGUGAAUGUGUCAUCAAGACCUAGUUACUUGUUGCAGCAUUUGAGCAGCAUUUGAUUGUGAAGCCAACUGAUCUG